UACGUAGGGUCCAAGCGUUGUCCGGAUUUAUUGGGCGUAAAGAGCUCGUAGGCGGUUCGGUAAGUCGGAUGUGAAAACUCAGGGCUCAACCCGGAGACGCCAUCCGAUACUGCUGUGACUGGAGUCUGGUAGGGGAUCACGGAAUACCUGGUGUAGCGGUGAAAUGCGCAGAUAUCAGGUGGAACACCGAUGGCGAAGGCAGUGAUCUGGGCCAGUACUGACGCUGAGGAGCGAAAGCGUGGGGAGCAAACAGG
rnacentral:rRNA from 1 species